AUUAUACUGAAAGAACUUGGAAGCGACCUUGGAGAAAAUGUGAUAGAGACGAUCAGAAUUUGUUGACUUUGGAUUCGUACUCUACACCCCAAAAAAUCGAUUUAUGAUGUCUCAUCAGUCAAUUGCUAACAGUGAUGAUGAAAAUUCAAAGUAACGAAGAAGAAAGAGAGUAUCGAAGUUUAUAAUGACGAAAAUCUUAUUCACAUUAAGGAAUGAAUCCAUCGGUCAUCGCUAGCUGAAUGAUUCAGCAUCAACGAUGGAAAUAGUCACGAAGAGCAGAAAGAUAAUCUGAUCCAAGAAAUACAGGAUUAUAAUCGUUUACGGUGGUUGGCCUGAGAUGAUCUGGCUCUUAGAGAGCAGAAUCAGAUUCGGAGAGGACGGAAACAAAAAUGAGGAUCUUUUCGAAUGGCCCUAAUCUAAUCGGAACAUGAAUCAGAUGAGUCGGAAUAUCAACGGAGAGACUACUUCGGAAAAACUGAGAAGCGAGAUGGAAUACCUCUGCUAGACUCAUUACUGAUAUAAGAGUCCCCUGUUGAAUGAAUGGAGGUCUGAGGAAAUCCGAAGCGAAAUUAGAAUAUCUAAUACAUUGUAAUUAUUUUAUAAAUUGAAUUACAUUGUAAUUUAUUCAAUA